ACGGUACGACGAGUCGCAAGCUCGCGAGGUUUAGCAAAUCUCUUAAAGCCGUUCUCAGUUCGGAUUGUAGGCUGCAACUCGCCUACAUGAAGUCGGAAUCGCUAGUAAUCGCGGAUCAGCAUGCCGCGGUGAAUACGUUCCCGGGCCUUGUACACACCGCCCGUCACACCAUGAGAGUUUGUAACACCCAAAGCCGGUGGGGUAACCUUUUGGAGCCAGCCGUCUAAGGUGGGACAGAUGAUUGGGGUGAAGUCGUAACAAGGUAAC
rnacentral:rRNA from 1 species